UAGGGAAUCUUCCACAAUGGGCGCAAGCCUGAUGGAGCAACACCGCGUGAGUGAAGAAGGGUUUCGGCUCGUAAAACUCUGUUGUUAGAGAAGAACACGAGUGAGAGUAACUGUUCAUUCGAUGACGGUAUCUAACCAGCAAGUCACGGCUAACUACGUGCCAG
rnacentral:rRNA from 1 species